UCCUAGUUAAAGUGUGUUUUAAUAAGGUUCUGUUAAUGUUUUGGGUGUGCAUUUAUGUUAUCUGGGUUUGAGUUUUGUAUGGUUGAUUUAGUGUUCAUGUUUAUCUACAUUUAUUUUUGCACCAUAACCGAGACCUGGGUGGGGACUGAUGGCCUCUGGGCAGAAUAUAUUGAUAUACUGUAU